UACGUAGGGUGCGAGCGUUGUCCGGAAUUACUGGGCGUAAAGAGCUCGUAGGUGGUUUGUCGCGUUGUUCGUGAAAACUCACAGCUUAACUGUGGGCGUGCGGGCGAUACGGGCAGACUGGAGUACUGCAGGGGAGACUGGAAUUCCUGGUGUAGCGGUGGAAUGCGUAGAUAUCGGGAGGAACACCAGUGGCGAAGGCGGCUCUCUGGACCUCUGCUGACGCUGAGGCGCGAAAGCGUGGGGAGCGAUCCGG
rnacentral:rRNA from 1 species